rfam:Nomascus leucogenys chromosome 1a, whole genome shotgun sequence.
GAGCUCCCACUUUGGCAGCAUAUAUACUAAAAUUGGAAUGAUACAGAGAAGAUUAGCGUGGCCCGUGUGUAAGGAUGGCAUGAAAACUCGUGGUGUCCCAUAUAAAAAU